GACGAACGCUGGCGGCGUGCUUAACACAUGCAAGUCGAACGGAAAGGCCCUGCUUUUGUGGGGUGCUCGAGUGGCGAACGGGUGAGUAACACGUGAGUAACCUGCCCUUGACUUUGGGAUAACUUCAGGAAACUGGGGCUAAUACCGGAUAGGAGCUCCUGCUGCAUGGUGGGGGUUGGAAAGUUUCGGCGGUUGGGGAUGGACUCGCGGCUUAUCAGCUUGUUGGUGGGGUAGUGGCUUACCAAGGCUUUGACGGGUAGCCGGCCUGAGAGGGUGACCGGCCACAAUAGGACUGAGAGACGGCGCAGUCUCCUACGGGAGGCAGCAGUGGGGAAUAUUGCACAAUGGGCGGAAGCCUGAUGCAGCAACGCCGCGUGCGGGAUGACGGCCUUCGGGUUGUAAACCGCUGUCGCCUGUGACGAAGCGGGAGUGACGGUAAUGGGUAAAGAAGCACCGGCUAACUACGUG
rnacentral:rRNA from 1 species